GGCCAGACUCCUACGGGAGGCAGCAGUGAGGAAUAUUGGUCAAUGGGAGGAAUCCUGAACCAGCCAUGCCGCGUGCAGGACGACGGCUCUACGAGUUGUAAACUGCUUUUGUACCGGGGUAAAAUGCCUUACGAGUAGGGUUUUGAAAGUACGGUACGAAUAAGGAUCGGCUAACUCCGUGCCAGCAGCCGCGGUAAUACGGAGGAUGCGAGCGUUAUCCGGAUUUAUUGGGUUUAAAGGGUGCGUAGGCGGGCUGUUAAGUCAGCGGUCAAAUGUCGGGGCUCAACCCCGGCCUGCCGUUGAAACUGGCGGCCUCGAGUGGGCGAGAAGUAUGCGGAAUGCGUGGUGUAGCGGUGAAAUGCAUAGAUAUCACGCAGAACUCCGAUUGCGAAGGCAGCAUACCGGCGCCCUACUGACGCUGAAGCACGAAAGCGUGGGUAUCGAACAGGAUUAGAUACCCCCGUA
rnacentral:rRNA from 1 species